AUACGGAGGGUGCAAGCGUUACUCGGAAUCACCGGGCGUAAAGCGCGCGCAGGCGGCUUGAUAAGUUGGAUGUGAAAGCCUACGGCUCAACCGUAGAACUGCAUCCAAAACUGUCAGGCUAGAGUGUGGGAGAGGAGGAUGGAAUUAGUUGUGUAGGGGUAAAAUCCGUAGAGAUAACUAGGAAUACCAAAAGCGAAGGCAAUCUUCUGGAACACUACUGACGCUGAGGCGCGAAGGCGUGGGGAGCAAACAGGAUUAGAAACCCCAGUAGUCC
rnacentral:rRNA from 1 species